rnacentral:rRNA from 1 species
UACGUAGGGGGCAAGCGUUUGUCCGGAUUUAUUGGGCGUAAAGAGCGUGUAGGCGGCCUGGUAGGUCAGCUGUGAAAACUCGAGGCUCAACCUCGAGACGCCGGUUGAAACCAUCAGGCUAGAGUCCGGAAGAGGAGAGUGGAAUUCCCGGUGUAGCGGUGAAAUGCGCAGAUAUCGGGAAGAACACCCGUGGCUAAGGCGGCUCUCUAGUACGGUACUGACGCUGAGACGCGAAAGCGUGGGGAGCCGAACAGG